AAUAGAUACCCUGGUAGUCCACGCCGUAAACGUUGGGCGCUAGGUGUGGGGUCCUUCCACGGGCUCUGUGCCGCAGNCUAACGCAUUAAGCACCCCGCCUGGGGAGUACGGCCGCAAGGCUAAAACUCAAAGGAAUUGACGGGGGCCCGCACAAGCAGCGGAGCAUGUGGCUUAAUUCGACGCAACGCGAAGAACCUUACCAAGGCUUGACAUACACCGAAAACUCGUAGAGAUACGGGGUCCGCAAGGGCGGUGUACAGGUGGUGCAUGGUUGUCGUCAGCUCGUGUCGUGAGAUGUUGGGUUAAGUCCCGCAACGAGCGCAACCCUCGUUCUAUGUUGCCAGCGCGUCAUGGCGGGGACUCAUAGGAGACUGCCGGGGUCAACUCGGAGGAAGGUGGGGACGACGUCAAAUCAUCAUGCCCCUUAUGUCUUGGGCUGCACACAUGCUACAAUGGCCGGUACAAAGGGCUGCUAAACCGCGAGGUGGAGCGAAUCCCAAAAAACUGGUCUCAGUUCGGAUUGGGGU
rnacentral:rRNA from 1 species